CCUUAACUGAAAUGACCCCAGCACAGCUAUUCACUAGAAGACAUCCUCCUUGAUUUCUUGGGGGGGCCCAUGAGAUGACUGAAGUUGUAGAACAGCAAAGACUGGGAACAGGCAUCGAGGUCCUCUUGCUCCUGUCGGAAACUUCUGUUGACUGCAGCAUGAGUUGGAUGGGACCCAGAGAAACCAAAUACAGACAAGUAAUGAUGAGUUGGCCAUACAAGCAAGGAAAAUUACAGAUAACAGGUGCACACCAAUUAGCAAUGUAUCUUUUGGGUCAUCCAGUACAUCUUCUUGACAGUAUGAAGUUGUUUCUUAUGGCAUAUUUUUUUGGUUUUUUGUGCCUAGAUUAAAUUUCCUAAGUGAUGCCAUAUCUCAAGGGAGAGGUUGUGUUGCCUAGAGCAUCCUGUUGUCAGGAGUUUUUUCCCAUUGUUAACGUCAUCAUGUUUCUUCUAUUUAUGUCCCUUUGCAAAUUUCCUUUUUUCCCUUUGAUCUCUUUUAACUAGUGUGAUGUUGUCUUUAGAUAGCAUUAAGGAAACUCAUAGGUAUUUAGCUCACCUAAUCUUUCCUAAUGUAGCAGUCCUUUCACCCCUCUUGUUAUUCUUCAUUUCCUCUCAUCACACAACUGCCUGUCAGUAUCUUUUUUAGUUAUGAGAUUUUAAAGACGUGGUGCAUUUCUCUGAUCUAACAACAGAUCUGGUGUAGAGCUGAGCCCCCUUAGUGUCUUGUCACCGUGUCCAGGGGAAAGCUGCAAGCAUUCUGAACAGGCACACAGGUAUCCUGCUUGAACCACUUCCUUGGUGCCACUUUAUUGACCCACAAAACACUACUAAAACAGUUAACCUAGGAGUUAAAAAAAUAAAGUACAUGGCAUUUUUUUAUUUAUUUCUCAUAGAGUAAACAGACAGAAUAGCACAGAUAAAACAUCUUUGAUGCUGUUGAGAUUAUCUAACUCUUGGUCAUGAACAUAACAGAUUAACAUUAUGGAAAACAUCAUCUUCCAUAACUACAUCUGAAUGCUAGAAGAGUACAUUGUAGAAAGUGAUUAUAUACACAGAGACAAGCCUAGCUGUUCACUUCAGGCAAUAAGUUCUGAUCUACAAACUACAAUACUCCUUUUGUGCUAGAUGAGAUCUUGGUUGUAAUUGACUGUCUUUACCUUUGUGUUCUGUUGGAUGGGAGGAAUAUAAUUUUAAUCUGCUCUCUUUAAAUUUCCAUUAAGGAAUGUUUCGGCUACCUGCAGCCUCAUCCGAUGAUGCUUAAUGAACUCAACUAGCUCGAUCUUCUGUGCACCAGCAGGGACCUCUUUAAAUGGGUAAACUGUAUAGAACGUUGUUUUCAAGUUUAACGUACUUGGAAUUAACCUUGUAAAAUAAUGGCAUCUUUAAAGACAGGUUAUAUACAUAGCACAGUCAUGUAUGUGUGCAUUUAUAUGUGCAUGUCUGUGUAUACAUGUGAAUAUAUACGUAAGUGCACACAGACGUAUAGAAAUGCUGAUGCUAUUCACCUUUUUGAAAUCUUUACAGCUAGUAUUAACAUGAAUGUGCUGUUAAAUUUGGCAGUGUUAUACAUUUUUGUUGGAGUUUACUUCUGUAAGAUAAAAUCAUAAAGAUAAGCUGUGAAACUCGUGCAGCUGAUGACAUAAUUCUAGAAUCUCGUGAUGCUGAAUCUCAUAUUUCUAUGAGUGUGGGAUGGAUGUUCCUCGCUGAAAUAAUUAUCCUGCCUAUUGCAGUGUAUGUUUCCUUGUUUUAUGUGGGCACUGAGAUGUCCAAACUAUUAAACAUAUAUGGUACAAUGA